AGGAGACUCGCUCCUAGUCCCCACCGCCAGCUCGUAGUCCUUUUUCUUCCAUCAAAGAAGAACCGGGGGAAUAAAGGGGGACAAGAGAAGGCACCAGCGGAAUUUUCCUUUUUCCUCCCCGAAGCGCAGCUCCGCGGGCGGCUUCGCGAUGGCCGCCGCCGACUACGACCGCGCGUACCGCCCCUACGCGCCCUCCUCCGCCGCCGACUACGACCGCCCCUACCGCAACGAGAUCGUGCCCUACGGCGACCGCCGCAUCGACCUCGUCGUCAAGCCGCCGCCGCCCACCAGGUCCCCGCCGCCGCCGUUGCCGGUCACCAAGAGCGGAGGCGGAGGCGGGAUAGGCUCCGCCUGGUGCUUCAGCGACCCGGAGGUGAAGAGGCGGCGUCGGGUGGCGAGCUACAAGGCGUACUCGGUGGAAGGAAAAGUCAAGGCCUCCUUCCGCCGGGGCUUCCGCUGGAUCAAGGACAAGUGCACGGGCUUCAUCCAUGGCUGAAUCCGUGGUCUUGGGUGAGUUCUAUUGGGAUCGAAGAAGACGCUGCAACAAUGUGCGAGUAACGGAUGCUGUUGCCUUUGCUAAUUUUGUCCAUGAGGUUGUGAUGGUAACUUUUGGGUCAGGUUUAUAGGAAACAAAAAAUUUAAGAGCUUCCUCAUGAGAUUGCUUUGAUUGCAGAUGCUGUUCUUACUGUCUGCUAGUUAGCUAGUUAUUUCAAGAAUGUCUCAACAGGAGUUGAAUCUUUGGAAAGGAACUGGUUAAUUUUCAUGAUAUCUCUAUAUGCCUCUCCUUAAGCCACGCCAUUCUGCAUAUGUAUUUUGAUGUUUUGAGAUAUUAUUAGGUUCUUUUAUACCACUUCAGUGUGACGGAGGCAUGGUUAGCUGAAUCAUGAGAGGAAAAUGGGCCAUCCCCAAAUUGGCGUAUCAGGAACCUGUCAAUUUGUUGUGCCGUUGCCGCCAACUGUUUUCAAUUUGCUAAGACAAGACUUUGUUGUCCCACUUAUGAGCCGUCCACUGCUCUCAAUUGAUAGUUUCCUCUUAAGUUAGCAAAAAAAAAAGUCGUUUUCCUCCAUGAGCGUAACAUAACCUGUGUAAUUAAGUUGGGUGACAAAUUUGAGAGCAUGCAACUUCUCCAUUUGGGUGGAUGAAGUGUGCACGUGAAAGAUUCCUGCUGCUGCUGCAUCAGGCAAUGGUCGAUGCGAUGCGACUAGCUCACACUCACAUGAGUUGGUGUGCAGAAAGAGACGAUGCGCC
rnacentral:rRNA from 1 species